AAACUCCUCGGCUCCCGGCGCCGCCGCCACCGCCGUGGUCCCCACUCGAAGCGCACGCCGCCUCGGCUCGCUGGCUCCAGGGAGUCGUCUCGGCGGGACAGGAAUAGAGCGCAGGGAGCUCGGGAGGAAGGCUGCGCGCAAGCGAGGGACGGAGAGCCAUCGGCCGCCAGGACAGGGCCGGAGGGACGAGGCGACACGCGCGCGACGCAGGACAAAUCGGAGCUUGGGAAAUCUCCCCGUCCCCCAAGCUUCAGAGGGGGGUAAAAUCAGAAAAUGUGUGUGAUGGUGGGAGAGAGAUCCGGGCGCGGCGACUCCUCGCAGCGCAUCCGGCUCCCGCACCCACCCGUGGAUCUGGCCACGGCUGUUGCGGACUCGUCUCGGGAAAGCGGAGGCCGAGCGCGCGUAGGGGUGCGUGUCUGGCUGGGGGUGCGCAGUGGCGGAAACAAGACAGGAGGCGGCUUGGGAAAAAGUGGAGCAGAAAUGGAAAAAUACAAACUCACCCGCUGCAAAUGGUCUCUCGGUGCAAACUAAGGUGUUUUCGGGCCUUUCCCCGCGCGCGCCCACUCCCGCCCGCGCGCGCACCCCGCGCACACACUCACUCGCGCACACACGCGCGCACACACGCACUCCCGGGCGAGGGCCGGGCCGCCGCGAGUACAGCGUGCAACCGCCACACAAUAAAUAACAAUAGAUUCCUCCGCUCCGGACUAGCUUCCCGGAGCCCAGCCAGCGCCGGUGGCGGCGGCGGCGGCGGCAGAGGCGCGGGCAGCACCGGCCCGGGGGCGCACCCCGGCCCGACCCUCUACCUCCCGCAGGGGUCCCCUCUCCGCUUCACGCACCCCGCUGGGCACUCCAGCGGCCCCCCGAGCGGGAGCGGCUCCCUCUUUGCCGUUCGCCGGGGCGCUGGCGCCCACCCCCCUCCUCCCUCCCCCCUCCCCCCCGACAUCCCGGAACAAAUAAAUAAAUAAGGCGCGCGAGAGAGGCCAACACGUCGCGGAGGGAGAUGUUGUUAUUUUUUGCUGUUGUGCGUCCCUGACGUCACAUCCACCUGCUGGAAGGCGAGUUCGGGAGGUGAAAGUUCAGCAGAAGGACAAACCCCUGUUUGCAAGGAAACAGAAACCCCGCCAGCCAGCGAGGGGUUUUCUCCCCUGUUUCUCGGAAUCAGGAGAGUGUGAAUGUGGGACGAGCUUCUGCCCCCUUGUCAGAGCCACUGCAGGAAUGUGCAAUCGAGUCCACUUUGGGGGAAGGUGGCUGCAUCAGGAACUGUGUUCUUGCCACGACUCCUCUUAGGAAAACGCCUGGGGGCUAGCAUGUCAGUCCGUUGUUUAACACAAAUUACCUGCUCUCCCAGUGAUCAGUCACGUGCAAAAAGCUUUGUCCAAUUCUUUGAAAAGGUGAGAUUUUUUUUUUUCUUUUUGCGGUUUUUGAAGUUUGGUUGAAUUUAGAAAUUCGAAGGAAUAAACUAAGAGCCUGAAUUAAAUGUUUUGAAAUAUACAUACAUAAAACAAAAGACACUAGUAUUUCUUUCACUUUUAUCAAUACGCAUAGAGAAGGAAGCAGAGUAUGUGUUUCCAAAACGUGACUUGGAAAGCUGUAAGACCUCUAUGUCUUGUUGUUGUUGUUGUUGUUGUUGUUAACAGAAGUAAAUUUUUUCAGACCCACCACCACAGAAGUGGCCAGACUCCCAAACCAGCAUUUCCAGCUACUGGCUGGCUGGUGUACACCAGGCCAAUUCUUUAUGAGAAUAUAUUAAAAGUCACCCCUGUGGAUUCCUACAAAGUACUUCCCCUUGCGGGGAGGGGAGAGGCUUACUGUCCCUUUGGUCUUGAGACCAGCACAGUUGUAGAUAAUAUCCUGAAAAGGUUAUUAUUAAAUUCUUUCGCGUAAUGCCCCUUUACAAAUAUUGUUAAACAUUAAUUUACAGAAGAACUUAAAUCUUAAUUUCAAGGGUGGCAUAAGACUAUCGCUUUGAAAUUGUAUCUUUCGCAAGUUAAAAAAAAAAAAUAACAAAGCCAUUCGCUGAUGCUACAGAAUAAAAGAAAGGGAGGCUGCUAAGGUAAUUUCAGCCUGGUAGAAUUCACAUUGCAUGCAUGCUGCAUAAAGUUCCAUGCUAUCCAGAUAAGACUAUUCACUGAAUCUUUUAGACUAGAAUCUAGACCAAUAAAAUGCAUUUUAGUUUGUAUGGAAUGUCCUAGCUUCCUAGAGGCUAGGGUUCGACGUCUUGUUUGUCAAGACAUAAAGGGAUUAAUGACAUACCCACUGUGUGCUAGACCACAGAGUGGGCACAGAGGGAUGAAAAAAUAAAAAUUCCUGCCCUUGAGGAGCUCACAGUCUAAGCUGUCAAUAAUAACAUCUAACAUUUAUUAAAUACUAUGAUCUAGGCACUGAACUAAAAGCUUUAUGUCAACUCAGUUAAUACUGCCAACAACUCUUUGACAUCACUGGAAAUUCCAUAUGCUGAAUUCACACGGAAUUAAGUGGAAAUCUACAAAGUAGCCAGUCUACUGGUUCUGUAGUGGUCAACCUAUUAAAAAUGGUUUUUAAUUUCUAAAGUACUUUAUGCCAAAUAUAACAUGUUUAUGGUAUAUGCCUGACUGUAGAAUUAUAACUCAGGGGAAUAACGACUUAUUUAAAUGUAACAGAUCUAUUCAUAGUCUGUAAAGAACAAUUCAUCCUCUGAUCUUGUUUUUCAGAUUAAGCAGUGUGUUUAUUAAAAAUUAUUAUCAUCGCAAUACUAAAAAGAUCUUUAGAUUGCUGCUAAUCUGAUUCUGCAUUUUAACUGCCUUAAAUUCUACAUUCACUUGCAAGUGGGGGCCACAGUCAGGUUGGCAACAAGUUUUGCAGACAAAAGGAAAUCCUGGUUGUAAAUCCCAUGAUAUAUUGUACUCAAUUUUGUAUGAUACUGUCUAAUGUGCUGUGCUGCCUUAUUAAAGAACUCGAUGUCCAUUUGGUUUACAUUAGAGGGAAACUUAACUGCAGCUUAACAUAUUGUUCAUUUUCAACACUGUCACGUUACAUUCGUGGGGGGCAGAUUUUAAUUUCUUUAUCAGUAAUCAACUGGAAGUUUCUUUUUGUUAAAUUAAAGCAAGAAAGGUUUUAAAAUAAAGGGCAUGGGGGUAGGACGCCACCUUUUGGUGAUAAAACAAAUAGAAAUCCCUUCUGAAAACAGAUGUUCCUGACAUAAUUUUAUUUUUAAUUACACCAAGGCAAAGGUGCUUGUCCCCAUUUCGUUAUAUUUUAAGUAACAGGAGAAAAAAAAAACCAAUGUAAAUGCAAAAUUAGCAAAUUAUAGUUAACUGCAGCCAAAAUUUUCCCAAACGUAUCAGAAUAUGUUAGUCCCCUGUCACAUUACUGUUGAUUGUAUACACCAAACAUGAGCUUCAUUCACCAAAUACCAUGUCACUAAAUAUAUGUACAUUUGGGGAACAGAAACUGGAGUGGACAUUUACCACCUGACGACGUACCUGAAUGCUCUUGUAAGUUUUGAGUUGAACAAAAACUAAAACCACUUAAUUUAGUGUUUCUUUAACCACAGUUACUGGUGUCCUGAUUUUUGCCAUAUCUAUAUGACAUAACAGUUCCCGAAUAAUUAAUAUACCAUACUCAUUGGAGGCCACUUAUUAUGGUAAUUGUAGCAAACAUUUUCAUUUAAAUCAACCUUCUUUUAAUUUUUUUCUAUUACUGCCUUAAAUGGGAAAUCAGUAUCACCCACCAUAAAUUAAAAACAAGCACAGUAAAAACAAAGUCACUGAUUUCUCUUUGAGGGUCAAAACAAAAAUUAAAAAUGAUUUUUGAAAAAAGGAGGGAGAGUGGCAAAUGUUGAGAAGGGUUAAGGACAAGAGUAUCAAUGGAAAUUUUUGAAUUUUUGUUUUUUCUCUCUCUUUUUUUCUGUUUUUUUUUUUUUUUUUUUUUUAACAACCAGAAGGAUUUAAAGUGAUCGGAAAGGAAUACAGUUCUCAAUGUGUGAUUCAGUGUUAUGCCAUCCUAGUGCCAAGGUUCCUACACUUUAAAAAACAUGGGCAUAACUAAGAAUAUCGCAUUACAGAUGAGGAAUCUAAGGCCCAGGGAUUUCAUUUGCCCUCCAAGGCAAAAUAAAUUUGGUUACUGGUUGGACAAGGAUUAGAAUCCAGGUGUCCUGACUUUGUGGGUUUCCAUCUCACUCUUUCCACUAAAGUGACCAAUCCUCAGACUUAAGUGGUUUGUCUAGCUUCUCAGAAACAGCUAACCUACAGACCCCUUUACAGAUCUGGGAGAAACUGAGGCCACAGAGGGUCAAGAACAAGUUCAACCCCCUGCUCACCGUCCUUUCUCUCCACCCUCUCUCCAUAGAUGUGACAGACAUCCAGGUGGGGGUCAACACAGCAAAGAAAGAAGGGAGGGUUGAGAAGAGAAAAGUGGAUUCAGAGAGGGGAGGUUAGUAAGCGUGGGCAGACCAUUCUCUAAAUGAAAGCUUAAACUCAGUUGCCUUCCAAGAAGAUAAAAAUGGCUAAUGAAAAUCAUGUGCUUCACAGUAAGUGGUAAGAGGAGCCCAUCCUCUGUGUCCUCAUGUCCCUAUAUGUCCACACCGGAAAUCAGCAGGGGAUCUCUUGUUUUAAAGUAUACAAUAUUAACAGGCACACUCUGAGACAAAACCACAUUUGAUAAUUUGAGUGGGUGGAAAAGCUAGUCAGGGAACGGGGAAUGACCCUAGCUUAAAAAGUGUUUUCCCCCACAACAAAACUUAAGAGGCUCAGAGUUAAAUCUAGAAACAAUAGUGCUUUUUCUGUUUUUCUAACUGGAGAGUGAGACCUUAGUUACCAAGACUGCACUUGCUGCUUUUUUUUAAAGUAUGCAGUUAUAUAAACAUAAAUAAAUAUGGCCUGCAAAUAUUUUUAUGUUUUUCUAAAUUGGUGAUUGUGAAAAGAGGUUGUGCAUGACUGUACUGUAUGAACAUGGGUCUCAGUGGACUGUAAUCCUCAUAAACUACAAGGUACGGUGAAGCAUUUGGCCAAGUAUCAUCAAUCCAAAAAGCUGUUCUAAUGCCCUGAGCAUUCCCAGUGCAACGUUGGUACCUUGGAAACAUGUAAAAGGAGUAUGGGUGGCUCAACCCCAUCUGCUACAGGUACUAGAACAAUCUACAGCCUUACUAUGCAAAAUGAGAUGUGCUGACCUGCAGAGCACCACCUCCAGGUUAUGUCAAAAAUGCAGAAUGUCAGGCCCUACCUCAGACCUAGUGAAUCAAAUAUCUGUAUUUUAAAAAAAUCACCCAGCCAAGUCUCACACACAUUCAAGUUGGACAAAGGUGAUCUAUAGUACAUGUGGCCCCUUAUACAACAGGCUGCAUCUCAAUAUCUUGAUAGCCUUAAACUAUUUCACAGGUAGUCCUGUAAGUCUGCCAUACAUGAUUCUCCAAACUGGCAUCUUUUAUAAACUUUGUUGGUUCCUUAUUUUUCAACCAUUUGCAAAGUUAAGUCACUCAAUCACCUAUGCAAACCAUAAUUAAUUCCUUUGACAUUAAUAGUCCGGUGACUUCUCUCUCCUGUUACCCCAAAGAGACUGCUAAUUGCCCUCCAAUUGUUUACCUUUGUAUUGUUUUAUGAGAGCUCAGAGAAAGAUGGAAGAUACUCUCCACCAGGCCAGAAACAAAUGCCAGACAGGUUUUGAAAAGGCUGAACACAUGCUAUGACUACACCUUGUUAGUAGAAGGGCUUUGCUUUCUUUGUUUUGUUUUCUUUUUUUAUGGAAGGGAUGACGCCUCCAUAAUUAUAGGUGCUGCUGUUUAAAACCCAGAGUGUUUUCCAAACCACUGAGGGGCCACACCUCCAGCAGCCCAUGAGCCAUCCUGGCUGGAUUAUCUUUCCAGUUCUCUAAACAGUUCAUCAAGCAGUACUAGAUUUACAUUAAGCAUAACGAGAGUAAGGGACCCCAUCCAAGUAUGGUUUCUUUCUGAAUAAACAUGAAGGACUCACAGGUAAACCUCACAGCUGAAGGUUAAUUUGUAUCUGUGAAGUUCUCAGAAAGACUGUAGUAAAGGCCCCUCACCCACCUAACAAGACAGCAGGUUACUUUUGUAACACCCCCCCAA
rnacentral:lncRNA from 1 species